GACUAAAGCAGAAGCAGUCCAGAAACUUUCCGUGAGUCUGUGUGGUGAUUCUGCCCUUACCUCCCAGUCCGGGACCCCUGAAUCCUGUUCCCCAAGCAGUUUAGGACGAAAACAACAGUUGGUGCCCAAACAGGGGACUCGUGUAUACUGGGUAAAGAUUGAAGUUGCGGACCAGAAGUGCCAGUAACAAAAUCAUAAAAAUGUGGACCUUUCGGCUGAGGCUGUGGAGUCAAAG
rnacentral:lncRNA from 1 species